AACACGACUCUCGGCAACGGAUAUCUCGGCUCUCGCAUCGAUGAAGAACGUAGCAAAAUGCGAUACCUGGUGUGAAUUGCAGAAUCCCGCGAACCAUCGAGUUUUUGAACGCAAGUUGCGCCCGAGACCUUCUGGUUGAGGGCACGCCUGCCUGGGCGUCACGC
rnacentral:rRNA from 1 species